CUCCAGGAACCUCCUCAAUUUAUCACCUACAUCAGUACCUGACUUUAUUAACCCCCUUGUAGCAGAGUAAAUGUCCAGAAAAUCUAGUGGAACAUCUACCCAGAAAAGUGGAACAGUGAAUAGAGACUUGAAGUGAAAUGGGAAGCUCAAAAAGAAGGACGUACUAAUCUUAUGAUCUGGUGUAGCUUUUUUUCUAAUCAGCCAAACUAGCAAAGGUUAGACGUUAUUUAUUUAAAACCGCUAUGCAGGUUUGCUAGCGUUGCUUGUUACCCCGUCACUACGGGCAAAUUCAGGAUACGUCGUUCUCCUACGCAACAAUCCCAGGGUGAGGAGCGGUACCUGCCUUCCUCCUGGCUUCUUUAGGACACUGGUGGUGGUUAUAAAUACAGCCGGUGAUGUCACACUUUGUAAACAGGCGUCGGGAGCAGGUUCGUGUGUUUCCUCAUCAGCCAGAAGCCUGAAAUGAUUUCAACGUUUGUUGUUUUCCUGGUGAAAUCCUCGGAGUCUAAGUGGGUGACAGCCUCACACCGUUCCGCUCGGCUUUCUCCCAGCUGUUUGAUGUGUGGUAAUGAUCCCCGGGACGCAGCGCCGGGACGUCAGAAGGUCGCAGCACGUCACGGAGGAUGUGCUCGAGUUUCCUCAGACCCACUGACAGAAUCAUCACCCUGCGGUCACUUCGCUCAUCCUGCGCCAACCUCCGAGCUCCCGGCUUCACUCGGUUCUCUCAGCAUUAAAUGGGUGUGUGUGGUGUGUGUGUGUGUGUGUGUGUGUGUGUGUGUGUGUGUGUGUGUGUGUGUGUGUGUGCGUGCUGGAACUUUCUAGAACAAAUGGAAGUCACGCCAAUGGAUGAUAAACGUCCUAACAUGUUUCUCAUGUCUUCUCAAAAUUCCCAAACUCAUAUCUUCAUGGAUUCUCAAACUCAUCCAGAUAGCCUGAGGUACACUCGGACCCAACAAUACCGAUUUGGACAAUAAAGCUUAAGACCCAUGAAUGAAAGUGUUUCAAAUAAUUUAUAAUAAUAAAUCAAAUAAUGUGGGACAAAUAUUGGUCAAGUGGAAGCUCAUUAGUUAACGCUCUGGGUUGCUGAUCAGAAGGUUGGGGGUUUGAGCCUCAGUAUUGCCAAGAUGCCACUUUUGGGCCCUUGAGCAAGGCCCUUAACUCUCUGUGCUUCAGUGGCACUGUAUCGUAUCUGACUCUGAGUUCCUAACCUUACUGGGAUAUGUGAAGAAUGAAUUUCACUGUGCUGUAAAAGAUCAGGCGAAGCCCCUUUCUUUCUUUAUAAAGAUAAAUGUAUAUUGUUAUCUUCUGAAUCUCUCAAGAGCCAUAAAGAUGGAUUUGGACUGUAAUUAAUAGAAAGUUUGCGACAGUGGCUUAGGCCUGUAGUCACCACAAACAGUUUUACGCUCAAGUCUCCAUCAGCAUUCUGAUGAGGUUCCUUCUUGAGUACCGUUCCUCUCAAGGUUUGUUCCUUAAACCAUCUCAAGGAGUUUGUCUCUCACCAUCAUCAUCACUGGCUCACUCUUUAAGAUACAGACUGAUUUAGGAUGCUGAAAUGACAUUGAUUGACUGUGGAAUUUGUUGCUCCUGGAGGAUGUUUAAUAACUUGUCACGUUCUUAUUUCUGGCACCUGUAAAUCGAGACACGGCCCUUUUCCUUAUUUUACUGUUUUCUAAGCUUUAAAUAGUUCACUCAGGUCUCACACUGCAAUCAGUCAGAUGCAUAAUAGUGAAAUAAUGUAUAAUUAUGAAUGGUAUAAUUAUAUGCAUUAUAUUGAACCAGGAUUAAUGAAUACAUUCCACAACUGCAGCGGACAAUGUCUUUAACUUAUGUUCCCAAAUGAAGCAGCUUGUUGGAACUUGUCAAUCAUGUGCAUUCGUGAUGUUUUUGUAGCCUCUUCCUUUGAGAUCAGACCCUGCUUUGCAUCGUGACGAAUUCCUGACCCUAACCUUAACCUGAAGUUGUAGGAGGAAGGUUAGCCCCAGGUCUUCAAACAAAACAAAACCAAUAACACUCACACACACACUUAUACAAACACACACACUGUGUACUGUACCCCAUGUCCAAUCCAAGAACAUGUCACCGUGUUGCUGAGAAUCGGAUAAUUUACAGCGUCUCUUGGGCAGCGCUCGGAGGGAAGCGUGUCAGCGCGGUUGCUGAGGGGAGGAUUCGCCCAGCGCAGAGAGAGAGAAUGAAACAAUAGUGCAGCGGCUGACGAACGGCAGCGAGAGGCCGACCUUUGGCCCUGAGCAGCACCCAGAACCGCCUGUUUACGCAAACGGGGUCUCGCUUCACGCAUCGGCCAAUCAGGAAGAGGCGUCGCAGGAAAAGGCAAAGGGGCGGCAAAGGUCUGACACGGGGCAAGCUCAAGACAACAAGCCUAUACACGCUUAUGGUACAAUACACACACACGCACACACAAUGCAACGAGGUCCUGGCCUAACGAGCUCAUUCCCAUCACAUAAUUCCUCUCUCUCUUUCAGAAACAUUUUCUGCAGCUGUCAGAAGCUGAGGAUUCAGGACACGUCGUUCCUGAAGUAUCCGAGUUCAAAUCCGGCUCUUGAUUGUACUGUUUGUGUUUUUUUAGCAAUAUAUAGUAUUUCAUUUGGCUCGCAGUGACGGCCUGAUAAAAAAAAGUGACAAAAAAGGUGGUAACAAACUCGGUAAUGUAACGGCAACUGUUCCCAAACAAAUCUAUUCCAGAUGUUCUACUUUAUUUUCCAUAAAAAAAUCAUUCCUUAGCAUGA